ACCAAUUCCUAAGUUGGUGCAAAAGUAAUUGCGGUCUUUGUCAUUAAAACCAAUAACAAAAACCACAAUUACUUUUGCACCGACCUAAAUAUUA
rnacentral:miRNA from 1 species